rnacentral:rRNA from 1 species
CCUACGGGAGGCAGCAGUGAGGAAUAUUGGUCAAUGGGCGCGAGCCUGAACCAGCCAAGUAGCGUGAAGGAUGACUGCCCUACGGGUUGUAAACUUCUUUUAUAAAGGAAUAAAGUGAGGCACGUGUGCCUUUUUGUAUGUACGUUAUGAAUAAGGAUCGGAUAACUCCGUGCAAGCAGCCGCGGUAAUACGGAGGAUCCGAGCGUUAUCCGGAUUUAUUGGGGUUAAAGGGAGCGUAGAUGGGUUGUUAAGUCAGGUGUGAAAGUUUGCGGCUCAACCGGAAAAUUGCAAUUGAUACUGGCAGCCUUGAGUACAGUUGAGGUAGGCGGAAUUCGUGGUGUAGCGGU